CGAGCCUGAAAGACGAUCGCUUUAUAUAAGAGGAAAGUCCGGGCAACACAGAGCAUGGUAGUCGCUAACAGCGACCGUCCGUAAGGAUAGGGAAAGUACCACAGAGACAAUACAGCCCACCGGUUUUCCAGGGGCAAUGGUGAAAAGAGUGAGGUAAGAGCUCACAGCGCGCGGUAGCGAUACAGUGCGGAGGCAAACCCUACCUGUUGCAAGGAGUGCUAGGUCACCUUAGCUCGAGGAUGCACGUUUACCGCUAGAACGUUAUAGCAAUGUAACGUCAAGAUAGAUGAUCGUCAACUAUAUAUUAUAUAUAGUUACAGAACCCGGCUUAAUGAAGGCUCAAUUU
rnacentral:RNase_P_RNA from 1 species